GACGAACGCUGGCGGCGUGUUUAACACAUGCAAGUCGAACGGAAAGGCCCUGCUUUUGUGGGGUGCUCGAGUGGCGAACGGGUGAGUAACACGUGAGUAACCUGCCCUUGACUUUGGGAUAACUUCAGGAAACUGGGGCUAAUACCGGGUAGGAGCUCCUGCUGCAUGGUGGGGGUUGGAAAGUUUCGGCGGUUGGGGAUGGACUCGCGGCUUAUCAGCUUGUUGGUGGGGUAGUGGCUUACCAAGGCUUUGACGGGUAGCCGGCCUGAGAGGGUGACCGGCCACAUUGGGACUGAGAUACGGCCCAGACUCCUACGGGAGGCAGCAGCGGGGAAUAUUGCACAAUGGGCGGAAGCCUGAUGCAGCAACGCCGCGUGCGGGAUGACGGCCUUCGGGUUGUAAACCGCUUUCGCCUGUGACGAAGCGUGAGUGACGGUAAUGGGUAAAGAAGCACCGGCUAACUACGUG
rnacentral:rRNA from 1 species